rnacentral:rRNA from 1 species
GACGAACGCUGGCGGCGUGCCUAAUACAUGCAAGUCGAGCGAAGUUUUUCUGGUGCUUGCCCUGGAAAAACUUAGCGGCGAACGGGUGAGUAACACGUAAAGAACCUGCCUCAUAGACUGGGACAACUAUUGGAAACGAUAGCUAAUACCGGAUAAUAGCAUUAACUGCAUGGUUGAUGUUUAAAAGUUGGUUUUGCUAACACUAUGAGAUGGCUUUGCGGUGCAUUAGCUGGUUGGUGGGGUAAAGGCCUACCAAGGCGACGAUGCAUAGCCGACCUGAGGGGGGAAUCGGCAACACGGAGACUGAAACACGGCCCGGACUCCUAGGGAAGGCGGAGGAGGGAAAUCUUCCGAAAUGGGCGAAAGCCUAACGAGGCAACGCGGCGUGGGUGAAGAGGGAUUUCGGUUCGUAAAGCUCUGUUGUUAGGAAAGAAUGAUUGUGUAGUAACUAUACACGGUAGGAACGGUACCUAACCAGAAAGCCACGGCUAACUACGU